GGGCGAUUAGUUAAGUGGUAUAACAAGAGUCUCCAAAACUCUGGUCGGAGGUCCGAUUCCUCCAUCGCCCGCCU
rnacentral:tRNA from 1 species